AUACCUUUCUCGGCCUUUUGGCUAAGAUCAAGUGUAGUAUCUGUUCUUAUCAGUUUAAUAUCUGAUACGUGAGCCAUGUGCUCACAAUGAUAUUAAAUUUAUUUUUUGAAAGGGAAAUUCCAUUGCAGUAGCUUGCUACUGGGAAUUUCGAGCGUCGCCCCUGCGUUGCACUAUAGCAAGGGCAUGGCGCGCCCUGC
rfam:Ricinus communis ctg_1100012356565, whole genome shotgun sequence.